GAUGAAGAACGUAGCGAAAUGCGAUAAGUAGUGUGAAUUGCAGAAUUCAGUGAAUCAUCGAAUCUUUGAACGCACAUUGCGCCCCUUGGUAUUCCAUGGGGCAUGCCUGUUCGAGCGUCAUUUGUACCUUCAAGCUUUGCUUGGUGUUGGGUGUUUGUCCAUUCUCUUGCAGAGGGACUCGCCUUAAAGUAAUUGGCAGCCAGUGUUUUGGUUUUGAAGCGCAGCACAAGUCGCGAUUCAACGCUAUACGCCAGCUUCCACAAGACUUUUUCACUUUUGACCUCGGAUCAGGUAGGGAUACCCGCUGAACUUAAGCAUAUCAAUAAGCGGAGGA
rnacentral:misc_RNA from 1 species